AUCGAUGAAGAACGCAGCGAAAUGCGAUAAGUAAUGCGAAUUGCAGAAUUUCCGUGAGUCAUCGAAUCUUUGAACGCACAUUGCGCCCACUGGUAUUCCGGUGGGCAUGCCUGUUCGAGCGUCAUUAUCCUCCCUCAAACCUCGGGUUUGGUGUUGGACCCAAGUUGUGUGAACAACUGGUCUCAAAGACAAUGACGGCGUCCGUGGGACCCUCGGUGCAACGAGCUUUUAAACGAGCACGCGUCGAGUUUCAAGGACCUUCCGGGCCGGUCUCCUUCUUUUAUUUACAAAGGUUGACCUCGGAUCAGGUAGGAAUACCCGCUGAACUUAAGCAUAUCAAUAAGCGGAGGAAAAGAAACCAACAGGGAUUGCCUCAGUAACGGCGAGUGAAGCGGCAACAGCUCAAAUUUGAAAUCUGGCCUUACGGUCCGAGUUGUAAUUUGUAGAGGAUGUUUUGGGUACCGCCGCGGUUUAAAUUUCUUGGAACAGAAUGUCAAAGAGGGUGAGAGUCCCGUCUUGGAUCGCGGUAGGGCCUGUGUAAAACUCCUUCGACGAGUCGACUUGUUUGGGAAUGCAGGUCAAAAUGGGUGGUAAAUUUCAUCUAAAGCUAAAUAUUGGCCAGAGACCGAUAGCGCACAAGUAGAGUGAUCGAAAGAUGAAAAGCACUUUGAAAAGAGAGUUAAACAGUAUGUGAAAUUGUUGAAAGGGAAGCGCUGGCAACCAGACUCGUGCGCGGGGUUCCCCCUUGCUUCUGCUUGGGUCACUUCCCCGUGUCCGGGCCAUCAUCAGUUUCGGGGGCCGGUUAAAGGCUCUGGGAAUGUAUCUACUCCUUCGGGGGUAGACUUAUAGCCCAGGGUGUCAUGCGGCCACUCGGGACUGAGGAACGCGCUUCGGCGAGGAUGAUGGCGUAAUGGUUGUCAGCGACCCGUCUUGAAACACGG
rnacentral:rRNA from 1 species